rnacentral:lncRNA from 1 species
CUCAUCUGCAGUUGUAGGUAAACACAGGAGCAGGGUGCAAAAGUGCAGGCUGUCGCAGCGGACGGGGCAGGUUUGGGCCUGGAAGUUAUGUAGGCGCUGAGACAGGUCCUUCAGGUGCCCUCAGCGUGUGCUGGGCUCUCAACCUCUGCUGUGCACCUGUCACUCUGUCCUUUCUGUCCCCGCUAAGUGAGCCUCUGAUCUCAGUCACUGCACUCUGGCGUGAACUAACCGCUCACAGGUUCGACCUGGUUUUAGCCUCGCAGCCGAUGAAGAUGAAGGCCUGUGCAGUCAUGAUGAGGCCGCCUCGUCCCAGCAGAGGAGCCAACAUUUGCUUUCUGACUUACAUGAUUGCCACAGGAAGCUUAAAGAAGAUUCUGGCUCCCUUUCCAGUUUAUGGAUAGAGUGAAUCUCAAAGAGCCUUCAACAACCCACCCUCCCCUUCUCCCUCAUACAAAUGCAAGGUCGCCAAUUUUAAAUAAAAAACUGUAAACCUACAUCGCCAAAUUUGAAAGUAAGCACUGAAUUCUCCAGGGGUUAGAAAUAAAGGAGCUCAAGAAAAAAGAAGCAAGCAGGAUUGAAUCGCUCAGAGGGCUACGCGGCCAGGUGGAGCAGUCACUCUGCACCUGGAGGAGGGAGGAGGAAAUCUAUUCCUCCAAGAAGACCUGGCUGCAGAUAGAAUUCUGGCCCUGGCUUCAGGGUGCAAAAGGGGGUGAAGCGCGCACAGGCAAUGGGGGAAAAAUAAGAACCCAGGUACGUCACGUACAGGUGCAAGCACCCAGUGACAAAUGUAAACGUGUUGUAUACCUAAAAUGUACCAAUAAAAGAAUUUAAGGAACAAAACAAAACGAAACA